rnacentral:rRNA from 1 species
UACGUAGGGUGCGAGCGUUGUCCGGAAUUAUUGGGCGUAAAGAGCUCGUAGGCGGUCUGUCGCGUCGAUCGUGAAAACUUGGGGCUUAACCCUGAGCUUGCGGUCGAUACGGGCAUGACUGGAGUUCGGCAGGGGAGACUGGAAUUCCUGGUGUAGCGGUGAAAUGCGCAGAUAUCAGGAGGAACACCGGUGGCGAAGGCGGGGUCUCUGGGCCGAUACUGACGCUGAGGAGCGAAAGCGUGGG